AUUGAACGCUGGCGGCAGGCCUAACACAUGCAAGUCGAGCGGAUGAUGGGAGCUUGCUCCUGGAUUCAGCGGCGGACGGGUGAGUAAUGCCUAGGAAUCUGCCUGGUAGUGGGGGACAACGUUUCGAAAGGAACGCUAAUACCGCAUACGUCCUACGGGAGAAGGCAGGGGACCUUCGGGCCUUGCGCUAUCAGAUGAGCCUAGGUCGGAUUAGUGAGUAGGUGAGGUAAAGGCUCACCUAGGCGACGAUCCGUAACUGGUGUGAGAGGAUGAUCAUUCACACUGCAACUAAACCACGGUCCAGACUCCUACGGGAGGCAGCAGUGGGGAAUAUUGGACAAUGGGCGAAAGCCUGAUCCAGCCAUGCCGCGUGUGUGAAGAAGGUCUUCGGAUUGUAAAGCACUUUAAGUUGGGAGGAAGGGCAGUAAGUUAAUACCUUGCUGUUUUGACGUUACCGACAGAAUAAGCACCGGCUAACUUCGUGCCAGCAGCCGCCGUAAAAC
rnacentral:rRNA from 1 species